AGGCUACUUCCUUCGAUGGUCUCAUCACCAGCCAGGUCGAUGCCCACCACAGUCUUCUGAUGGUACUUCUUACACAGCUCCAACACCUCAGGGGACCAGUCUGGGAGAGAGGUUCAAUGGACCAUCCUCAAACAGUAUGGGGGCCCUGGUUCACAAGAUCCACAACCUCGUCAGGGGUGACAUCCCCUCUGUGUGGGGAGAGAAGGAGGGAGGACUUCAGGCCAAGGGAAGGCCAUGGUCAACCAUGGAACUGGAGCAAGGAGGAGCAGCCUUGCCCCUGAAUUAUGUCUUCCAAGGAGACCCGUGGACAUGAUUUCAAGCUCCUGUGCUGUGGUCUACUUCCUUAGAGCUGUCUGGGCACUGCCAGAUUCUAGCUUGGGGAUGUCAGCCCUCCCUAUUUCUAGAUGGAGAGGGGACUAAAUUUCGGCCUGUG